CAGCAGCCGCGGUAAUUCCAGCUCCAAUAGCGUAUAUUAAAGUUGUUGCAGUUAAAAGCUCGUAGUUGAAUUUCGGGAUCAAUAUAUCGGUCGUGCCUUGGUACGUACUGGUAUCAUUGGUUUCUCCUUUCUGACGAACCAUGAUGUCAUUAAUUUGGUGUUAUGGGAAGUUAGGACUGUUACUUUGAAAAAUUAGAGUGUUUAAAGCAGGCUUUGGCUUGAAUACAUUAGCAUGGAAUAAUGAAAUAGGACGUUCGAACCUAUUUUGUUGGUUUCUAGGAUCAACGUAAUGAUUAAUAGGGAUAGUUGGGGGCAUUAGUAUUCAAUUGUCAGAGGUGAAAUUCUUGGAUUUAUUGAAGACUAACUACUGCGAAAGCAUUUGCCAAGGAUGUUUUCAUUAAUCAAGAACGAAAGUUAGGGAUCGAAGACGAUCAGAUACCGUCGUAGUCUUAACCAUAAACUAUGCC
rnacentral:misc_RNA from 1 species